rnacentral:rRNA from 1 species
CCAGGAGGUUGGCUUAGAAGCAGCCAUCCUUGAAAGAGUGCGUAAUAGCUCACUGGUCGAGUGGUUCUGCGCCGAUAAUGUAGCGGGGCUUAAGUACACCGCCGAAACCGCGGCAACACGCGUAAAGUGUGUUGGGUAGGGGAGCGUCGUGCAUGUGUUGAAGCUAGCUGGUGACAGGUGGUGGAGUGUGUGCGAGUGAGAAUGCAGGCAUGAGUAACGAUUGAUGUGUGAGAAACAUAUCCGCCGGAUGACUAAGGGUUCCUGGGUGAAGUUUGUCUUCCCAGGGUGAGUCGGGGCCUAAGGCGAGGCCGACAGGCGUAGUCGAUGGAUGACGGGUUGAUAUUCCCGUACCCGUGUGCGUGCGACAAGUGAUGAAUCUUAUGGUACUAACCGCCCGCCUGCGUGCACUGGUCUUUUUGGUUGGUGUGUGUGGGUGCGUGGGAUCUUCGUGGGUAGUAGUCAAGUGAUGGGGUGACGCAGAGUGGUAGCUAGGCUUCCUUAUUGGAUUGGAGUGCAAGCGUGUGGCCUGUGGGGUUGGGAAAUCCGCCCCGCAUUAAGGGUGAGGCGUGAUGCGGACACCAUGUUGUGGUGGUAGUUAGUGUGCCUGUGCUGUCUAGAAAAGCCUCUAGCGAGUGCGUGCAUGGCCCGUACCGGAAACCGACACAGGUGGUCAGGUAGAGAAUACUAAGGCGUUCGGGUGAACUGUGGUUAAGGAACUCGGCAAAAUGCCCCCGUAACUUCGGGAGAAGGGGGACCAUUACUGGUUGCUGACAGCAUUAUUGGCUGGUGGUGGUCGCAGAGGAGAGAGGGAAGCGACUGUUUAUUAAAAACACAGGUCCGUGCGAAAACGUGGAAGUUGAGGUAUACGGACUGACGCCUGCCCGGUGCUGGAAGGUUAAGAGGACCCGUGAGCACAUUUUGUGUGUGCGAGGCGGAGAAUUGAAGCCCCAGUAAACGGCGGUGGUAACUAUAACCAUCCUAAGGUAGCGAAAUUCCUUGUCGGGUAAGUUCCGACCUGCACGAAUGGCGUAACGACUUCCCUGCUGUCUCAACCACAGGCCCGGUGAAAUUGCAGUACGAGUAAAGAUGCUCGUUUCGCGCGGCAGGACGAAAAGACCCCGGGACCUUUACUAUAGCUUGGUAUUGGUGUUUGGUCAUGCUUGUGUAGGAUAGGUGGGAGACUGUGAAGCCGCAACGCUAGUUGUGGUGGAGUCGCAGGUGAAAUACCACUCUGGUGUGAUUGGGUACCUGAACCUUGGCCCGUGAUCCGGGUUGGGGACAGUGCCUGGUGGGUAGUUUAACUGGGGCGGUUGCCUCCUAAAUGGUAACGGAGGCGCCCAAAGGUUUCCUCAGUCUGGUUGGCAAUCAGAUGGUGAGUGUAAGUGUAUAAGGGAGCUUGACUGUGACACUGACGGGUGGAGCAGGUGCGAAAGCAGGGACUAGUGAUCCGGCACCGACGUGUGGUUGUGGUGUCGCUCAACGGAUAAAAGGUACCCCGGGGAUAACAGGCUGAUCUUCCCCAAGAGUUCAUAUCGACGGGAUGGUUUGGCACCUCGAUGUCGGCUCGUCGCAUCCUGGGGCUGGAGUAGGUCCCAAGGGUUGGGCUGUUCGCCCAUUAAAGCGGCACGCGAGCUGGGUUUAGAACGUCGUGAGACAGUUCGGUCUCUAUCCGCCGCGCGCGU